rnacentral:siRNA from 1 species
CAUUUGGGUUCUGCCUAUUAA